GCGGGUGUGAUGGAAUGGCAGACAUGCAAGAUUUAGGUUCUUGUACCGCAAGGUGUGCAGGUUCAAGUCCUGUCACCCGCACCA
rnacentral:tRNA from 1 species